rnacentral:rRNA from 1 species
GGGCUUGACAUCCCACGAACCUGCCCGAAAAGGUGGGGUGCCCGCAAGGGAGCGUGGAGACAGGUGGUGCAUGGCUGUCGUCAGCUCGUGUCGUGAGAUGUUGGGUUAAGUCCCGCAACGAGCGCAACCCUCACCCCUAGUUGCCACCGGGUUAAGCCGAGCACUCAAGGGGAACUGCCAGCGUCAAGCUGGAGGAAGGCGGGGAUGACGUCAAGUCAUCAUGCCCCUUACGCCCUGGGCUACACACGUGCUGCAAUGGCCAGUACAAAGGGACGCGAGACUGCGAAGUGGAGCUAAUCCCAAAAAGCUGGUCUAAGUUCAGAUUGCAGUCUGCAACUCGACUGCAUGAAGGAGGAAUCGCUAGUAAUCGCGUAUCAGCCCGGCGCGGUGAAUACGUUCCCGGGCCUUGUACACACCGCCCGUCACACCACGAAAACUGUCUGUACUCGAAGUCGCUGAG